ACCAACAGGGAUUACCUCAGUAACGGCGAGUGAAGCGGUAACAGCUCAAAUUUGAAAGCUAGCUCUUUUAGGGUUCGCAUUGUAAUUUGUAGAAGAUGCUUCGGGUGUGGCCCCGGUCUAAGUUCCUUGGAACAGGACGUCAUAGAGGGUGAGAAUCCCGUAUGUGACUGGGUGCUUUCGCUCAUGUGAAGCUCUUUCGACGAGUCGAGUUGUUUGGGAAUGCAGCUCAAAAUGGGUGGUAAAUUUCAUCUAAAGCUAAAUAUUGGCCAGAGACCGAUAGCGCACAAGUAGAGUGAUCGAAAGAUGAAAAGCACUUUGGAAAGAGAGUUAAACAGUACGUGAAAUUGUUGAAAGGGAAGCGCUUGCAACCAGACUUGCGCGCUGAUGAUCAUCCGGGCUUCUGUCCGGUGCACUCGUCUGCGCUCAGGCCAGCAUCGGUUUCGGUGGUGGGAUAAAGGCCUUGGGAAUGUAGCUCCUCUCGGGGAGUGUUAUAGCCCUCGGUGCAAUGCCGCCUAUCGGGACCGAGGACCGCGCUUCGGCUAGGAUGCUGGCGUAAUGGUUGUAAGCGACCCGUCUUGAAACACGGACCAAGGAGUCUAACAUCUAUGCGAGUGUUUGGGUGUCAAACCCAUACGCGUAAUGAAAGUGAACGGAGGUGAGAACCCUUAAGGGUGCAUCAUCGACCGGUCCUGAUGUCUUCGGAUGGAUCUGAGUAAGAGCAUAGCUGUUGGGACCCGAAAGAUGGUGAACUAUGCGUGAAUAGGGUGAAGCCAGAGGAAACUCUGGUGGAGGCUCGCAGCGGUUCUGACGUGCAAAUCGAUCGUCAAAUUUGCGUAUAGGGGCGAAAGACUAAUCGAACC
rnacentral:rRNA from 1 species